ensembl:snoRNA
CGCACUGUAUGGUAUCUGCAACCAACAGUUGUUCCUGAUGGCUUGUUCAAAAAACAGUGCAAGAUCAGUUCAGCAUGUGGCAUCGUUGGUUCUCAAGCUGCCGUGCUUGUGCAACCUGGUAUUUUUGUUGAGACAAGU